AAAAGGUGGACAAUGGUAAAUAGAUGUAGUUGCUUCAAUGAUAGUGAAGAAUCUUGUUCAUAUCUUGAUAUAUUGUGAUAGAACAAAAAACUGUGGAUAUUUCUAUUAGUAGUCUUUGGUCUAAAAUGGGUGUUUCUAGCUUCAAUGAGAAAACUCCUCCUUAGAUUGAAGUUUAAGGGGUUGGAUAAGAGGAAAAGGAAGGUUUGGCACGUGGCUCCCCUGUGCUUGUUCUGGAGCAUGUUAGAAGAGCAUGAUCAAAGGAUUUUCAAGAAGAACAGUAAUAUCAAAGGUUAGAGAAUAACUUCAUUAAAUCCCCAUUGAUGUGGUCCCAUGUUUCACUGUAAAUGGAAAAUUACACAACCUCUUAGAUAACCUUAAUUAUGAUUAGAUAUGCCUUUAUAGAGGUUGUU
rnacentral:lncRNA from 1 species